rnacentral:rRNA from 1 species
UGGGGAAUAUUGCGCAAUGGGGGAAACCCUGACGCAGCAACGCCGCGUGGAGGAAGAAGGUAUUCGUAUUGUAAACUCCUGUCUUUUGGGACGAAGAAAUGACGGUACCAAAGGAGGAAGCCACGGCUAACUACGUGCCAGCAGCCGCGGUAAUACGUAGGUGGCAAGCGUUGUCCGGAAUUAUUGGGCGUAAAGAGCGCGCAGGUGGUUGAUUAAGUCUGAUGUGAAAGCCCACGGCUUAACCGUGGAGGGUCAUUGGAAACUGGUCGACUUGAGUGCAGAAGAGGGAAGUGGAAUUCCAUGUGUAGCGGUGAAAUGCGUAGAGAUAUGGAGGAACACCAGUGGCGAAGGCGGCUUCCUGGUCUGUAACUGACACUGAGGCGCGAAAGCGUGGGGAGCAAACA